rnacentral:lncRNA from 1 species
UAAUGGUAUGUCAGCUAAUCGACAUACGGGUCACUUAAGUACAAAUAUACAUGUAUAUUGAUAUUCUGAAAGAGACAUUGUAACACAAAAAAGGAAUCAAAUCUUAACCAGCGUAUAACUGCAUACUCUAUAAAUGUGAACUCAGAUUAACCUCCCUUGCCAGUCCAAAAUCAGCAAUGUUAAUGAUAAAUUUAGAGAUAUAUAUCUUUUGCAACAAUCAACACAACAUAAACAAAGAACAACACUUUCUUAUAGCCAGAGGGAAGAGAAAGAGAGAUAAAUAAAAAAACCUUUGAAUUAGAAGCUGUAUGAGAAAACGAAGCAACUUUCUCUUCUUGGAGUUUGGUUUCAAUGUCUGAACUCGAUCUAAAUGUGGAUAAAAAAUGUGUAAUAAGUUUCUACUGUUAUUAGGAAUAGCGAGGAUGAGUCUCAGAGGAUGAAGCCUUGCCUUUUUAUAGAUGGGAUCUAUCUUUGCAACCUGAGUUUCCAUAGCGAAGGUAAACUCAAGAUACCUGUUUCGUCUUUAAAACCAUUAGCUAGACUGAAACCGCUUAUUGGAACUCAUCAAACUACAGAGAAACGAUACCGAUGAAUCUAAAACGUUACACAAUAAAAUAGUAUGAAAGAAGUCUAACCUCAAUGGUGGAAGGAAAGCGAGCUGGAGAGUUGGCCGUUUCACCAAACCUAAGUUUUCUAAAUUUUUUUCAGUUGAGAGGAUGAUUUGGAAGGGAAGAAGGCUUACCUUUUUAUAGGUG